UACGUAGGCAGCGAGCGUUGUUCGGAUUUACUGGGCGUAAGGCGUGCGUAGGCGGUUGUCUAAGUUUGGUGUGAAAUCUCCUGGCUUAACUGGGAGGGUGCGCCGAAAACUGGGUGACUGGAGUGUCGGAGAGGUAAGCGGAAUUCCUGGUGUAGCGGUGAAAUGCGUAGAGAUCAGGAGGAACACCUGUGGUGUAGACAGCUUACUGGACGAUAACUGACGCUGAGGCACGAAAGCGUGGGUAGCAAACAGG
rnacentral:rRNA from 1 species